AUUGAACGCUGGCGGCAUGCCUUGCACAUGCAAGUCGAACGGCAGCACGGGUGCUUGCACCUGGUGGCGAGUGGCGAACGGGUGAGUAAUAUAUCGGAACGUACCUUAUUGUGGGGGAUAACGCAGCGAAAGCUGUGCUAAUACCGCAUAAUCCCUAAGGGGGAAAGCGGGGGACCGUAAGGCCUCGCGCAAUUAGAGCGGCCGAUACCUGAUUAGCUAGUUGGUGAGGUAAAGGCUCACCAAGGCAACGAUCAGUAGCUGGUCUGAGAGGACGAUCAGCCACACUGGGACUGAGACACGGCCCAGACUCCUACGGGAGGCAGCAGUGGGGAAUUUUGGACAAUGGGGGCAACCCUGAUCCAGCAAUGCCGCGUGAGUGAAGAAGGCCUUCGGGUUGUAAAGCUCUUUUGUCAGGGAAGAAACAGCAGCUCUAACACAGUUUGCGAAUGACGGUACCUGAAGAAUAAGCACCGGCUAACUACGUGCCAGCCGCCGCGGUAA
rnacentral:rRNA from 1 species